rnacentral:rRNA from 1 species
CUGGCGGCACGCUUAACACAUGCAAGUCGAACGAGAGAAGAGAAGCUUGCUUUUUCUGAUCUAGUGGCGGACGGGUGAGUAACACGUGAGCAAUCUGCCUUUCAGAGGGGGAUACCGAUUGGAAACGAUCGUUAAUACCGCAUAAUAUAAUUGAACCGCAUGAUUUGAUUAUCAAAGAUUUAUCGCUGAAAGAUGAGCUCGCGUCUGAUUAGCUAGUUGGUAAGGUAACGGCUUACCAAGGCGACGAUCAGUAGCCGGACUGAGAGGUUGAUCGGCCACAUUGGGACUGAGACACGGCCCAGACUCCUACGGGAGGCAGCAGUGGGGAAUAUUGCACAAUGGAGGAAACUCUGAUGCAGCGAUGCCGCGUGAGGGAAGAAGGUUUUAGGAUUGUAAACCUCUGUCUUCAGGGACGAAAAAAGACGGUACCUGAGGAGGAAGCUCCGGCUAACUACGUGCCAGCAGCCGCGGUAAUACGUAGGGGGCGAGCGUUGUCCGGAAUUACUGGGUGUAAAGGGAGCGUAGGCGGGAUCGCAAGUCAGAUGUGAAAACUAUGGGCUUAACCCAUAAACUGCAUUUGAAACUGUGGUUCUUGAGUGAAGUAGAGGUAAGCGGAAUUCCUAGUGUAGUGGUGAAAUGCGUAGAUAUUAGGAGGAACAUCAGUGGCGAAGGCGGCUUACUGGGCUUUAACUGACGCUGAGGCUCGAAAGCGUGGGGAGCAAACAGGAUUAGAUACCCUGGUAGUCCACGCCGUAAACGAUGGAUUACUAGGUGUGGGGGGACUGACCCCUUCCGUGCGGCAGCAAACGCAAUAAGUAAUCCACCUGGGGAGUACGACCGCAAGGUUGAAACUCAAAGGAAUUGACGGGGGCCCGCACAAGCAGUGGAGUAUGUGGAUUAAUUCGAAGCAACGCGAAGAACCUUACCAGGUCUUGACAUCGUAUGCAUAGCUCAGAGAUGAGUGAAAUCUCUUCGGAGACAUAUAGACAGGUGGUGCAUGGUUGUCGUCAGCUCGUGUCGUGAGAUGUUGGGUUAAGUCCCGCAACGAGCGCAACCCUUACUGUUAGUUGCUACGCAAGAGCACUCUAGCAGGACUGCCGUUGACAAAACGGAGGAAGGUGGGGAUGACGUCAAAUCAUCAUGCCCCUUAUGACCUGGGCCUCACACGUACUACAAUGGCUGUUAACAGAGGGAUGCAAAGCCGCGAGGUGGAGCGAACCCCUAAAAGCAGUCUUAGUUCGGAUUGUAGGCUGCAACCCGCCUACAUGAAGUCGGAAUUGCUAGUAAUCGCAGAUCAGCAUGCUGCGGUGAAUACGUUCCCGGGCCUUGCACACACCGCCCGUCA